GCCAGUAUGGUGUAGUGGUUUGAGCACUGGAUUAUGACUCCAGAGACCAUGGUUUGAAUCCUGGCUCAUCCA